rnacentral:rRNA from 1 species
AAAUUGAAGAGUUUGAUCAUGGCUCAGAUUGAACGCUGGCGGCAGGCCUAACACAUGCAAGUCGAACGGUAGCACAGAGAGCUUGCUCUCGGGUGACGAGUGGCGGACGGGUGAGUAAUGUCUGGGAAACUGCCCGAUGGAGGGGGAUAACUACUGGAAACGGUAGCUAAUACCGCAUAACGUCGCAAGACCAAAGUGGGGGACCUUCGGGCCUCACACCAUCGGAUGUGCCCAGAUGGGAUUAGCUAGUAGGUGGGGUAACGGCUCACCUAGGCGACGAUCCCUAGCUGGUCUGAGAGGAUGACCAGCCACACUGGAACUGAGACACGGUCCAGACUCCUACGGGAGGCAGCAGUGGGGAAUAUUGCACAAUGGGCGCAAGCCUGAUGCAGCCAUGCCGCGUGUAUGAAGAAGGCCUUCGGGUUGUAAAGUACUUUCAGCGAGGAGGAAGGCGUUGUGGUUAAUAACCACAGCGAUUGACGUUACUCGCAGAAGAAGCACCGGCUAACUCCGUGCCAGCAGCCGCGGUAAUACGGAGGGUGCAAGCGUUAAUCGGAAUUACUGGGCGUAAAGCGCACGCAGGCGGUUUGUUAAGUCAGAUGUGAAAUCCCCGGGCUCAACCUGGGAACUGCAUUUGAAACUGGCAAGCUUGAGUCUCGUAGAGGGGGGUAGAAUUCCAGGUGUAGCGGUGAAAUGCGUAGAGAUCUGGAGGAAUACCGGUGGCGAA